AGAGUUUGAUCCUGGCUCAGAAUCAACGCUGGCGGCGUGCCUAACACAUGCAAGUCGAACGAGAAAGUGGAGCAAUCCAUGAGUAAAGUGGCGCACGGGUGAGUAACACGUGACUAACCUACCUUUUAGUGGGGGAUAACCUAGGGAAACCUGGGCUAAUACCGCAUAAUACCUACGGGUCAAAGCAGCAAUGCGCUGAAAGAGGGGGUCGCGGCCGAUUAGCUAGUUGGCGGGGUAAUGGCCCACCAAGGCAGUGAUCGGUAUCCGGCCUGAGAGGGCGCACGGACACACUGGAACUGAAACACGGUCCAGACUCCUACGGGAGGCAGCAGUGGGGAAUUUUGCGCAAUGGGGGAAACCCUGACGCAGCAACGCCGCGUGGAGGAUGAAGUCCCUUGGGACGUAAACUCCUUUCGAUCGGGACGAUAAUGACGGUACCGGAAGAAGAAGCCCCGGCUAACUUCGUGCCAGCAGCCGCGGUAAUACGAGGGGGGCAAGCGUUGUUCGGAAUUAUUGGGCGUAAAGGGUGCGUAGGUGGUUCGGCAAGUCUUGUGUGAAAUCUUCAGGCUCAACUUGAAGUCUGCACAAGAAACUGCCGGGCUUGAGUAUGGGAGAGGUGAGUGGAAUUUCCGGUGUAGCGGUGAAAUGCGUAGAUAUCGGAAGGAACACCUGUGGCGAAAGCGGCUCACUGGACCAUUACUGACACUGAGGCACGAAAGCUAGGGGAGCAAACAGGAUUAGAUACCCUUGUAGUCC
rnacentral:rRNA from 1 species